AUUGACUCUACUCCAGCUCUUCCAGAAGGCACAUAUGAUUUCUCAGCAAUAAAGUCUCCAGAGGAUCCAACUGUUGACUUUAGCAAGUGACUCACCUUUCCAGACAAAUCAGAGCUUAAUCAAAGAAUAACACUCAAAAACAACAUCACUGCUGAGCUGAAAAUGUGGAAGAGGCUGAUGAGGACAGAGCUAACGCAGCAUCUCCCAGCAACAUGCAGCAGACUUUACAGUGACCCGCACCAUCCACCCUUCCAGAGUUACAGUCCAAGACUUGGAUUAACUUAGAAAUAAAAUAAAUGCAGCAAGUGGAAAAAACUAAAGAGCAUGUUAAUACUAUAUCAACUGACUUUAGCAAAGUUUCUGCUCCCACAAAUAGAGAACAAAUGGCCUUGAUGGCAUAAGCAUAUGCUCUUACUAUGUGUUACUGUGUAACACAAACAACCAUGAUACACGUUGACUUUUGCGGGGAGAGUUAUCCUGAGUGUGGAAUAAUUACAUAAACUGACAUACCACAAUGUGAAUAUAAACCAAUUCUCAAACAAAAUUGAUAUUCAAGCCUUCAAGCCUAUGGACGUGUUUAUACGUGGUCAAGUACACUAGUAUUUCCGUUUACUUCAAUGGGACAACUCACAGGUUUUUAUUAGCGUUUCCAAGAUUUAGUGGGAAACUGCUCAGCUACUGAAAGACAUAAUAUGGAGAUAACAGGCCUAAUUUUGUUCUGUCAUUCAAGUGACAGCCCUGUCCAGCCCUGCUCUUUCUACUUCAUUGCUACCUAUGAGACCGUAUCCUGGAAGGAGAGAGGAACUCAGCUUUGGAAACACAAGUUAAGGACAAACUGUGUGCUGGAAGCAGCUCGCAUGUCCUGCUCUAGCUGCAGCUGAGCCAGGACAGAGGGCCUCAUCUACAGCAUCUUUCCAGCGGUCCAUCAGGAUCCCCAGGUUCCUGCCUGCUCCCAGUCGAUGGUAUAACUUCUUGUGACACCGUGCCCUAACCCAGGUCAGCCAAAACAAGCUGGGUUAAUUUAAGCCAGCAAUAACUUUUCCCCACUAAGACCAGCCAGAAAGCGUGCACGAAACUCAGCCUAACAUACCCAAUGCUUGAGGCCACGACCACCCUCACUUUUAAGCCAUCCUGCUCAGACUGGAUAUAAACAUGGCAGACUUUUCCCAUACCACGGGCAAGUCCUUACUGGGUAACUCCAGGCUUGUCUGAGAUCCCCCAGCUGCCUCGCCAGUCCCUGACACUGCCUCCUUUCCUGCUUGGAAAGGGAAAAGCUCCCUACAGCAACUGCACCAAUUGUUCACAAGGAAACAAAAGAGAAACCAAAGCAACCGAGGAAACCUCAGGU
rnacentral:lncRNA from 1 species